GAGGAAAAUAAUUAAAAGUUAGUGCAGAGUGGAUGACAGGGCGAGGAGAUCCCCUAUUGAAGGGCGGACAGAAUGACACGACUGGAUCGAUAGAGGAGAAGCUGGUACAGAUAUUCAUGGUCCCCGGAGGAUGAAUCCUACCCACGUGGUUGACUCUCUGCUCAUUUUGGCAGUGGCUAACAUGUUGACAUGCUAAUAUGACGUACGCUAGUAAGGCUUGCUAAUGAGCGUGUUAGCAUGCAGCCUCACAGGGAAAUACAGGCCAUUAAAGGUCCCACACGUUACUGCAUGAAAACAAAGUCUGGCAAGAUUAAAUGUAAUGAAAUACUAUU